rnacentral:rRNA from 1 species
GACGAACGCUGGCGGCGUGCCUAAUACAUGCAAGUCGAGCGGACGAAUCGAAAGCUUGCUUUUGAUUCGUUAGCGGCGGACGGGUGAGUAACACGUGGGCAACCUGCCCUGUAGACGGGGAUAACACCGAGAAAUCGGUGCUAAUACCGGAUAACACGAAAUGUCGCAUGACGUUUCGUUGAAAGACGGCGCACGCUGUCGCUACAGGAUGGGCCCGCGGCGCAUUAGCUAGUUGGUGAGGUAACGGCUCACCAAGGCGACGAUGCGUAGCCGACCUGAGAGGGUGAUCGGCCACACUGGGACUGAGACACGGCCCAGACUCCUACGGGAGGCAGCAGUAGGGAAUCUUCCGCAAUGGACGAAAGCCUGACGGAGCAACGCCGCGUGAGCGAAGAAGGCCUUCGGGUCGUAAAGCUCUGUUGUUAGGGAAGAACAAGUAACGCAGUAACUGGCGUUACCGUGACGGUACCUAACGAGAAAGCCACGGCUAACUACGUG